GUUCUGGAUUUUAACUGCUUUGCAUAACCUUUCUUAGAUAUUUAUAACUGUUACAGGUAGAGAAAGAAUUUUGGUUGGAACAGACUGACUUGAGUAGGACAAGUAGUAUUAGGCACAGGGAGAGUGUUUCCAAAGUGAGCUUCAAAGAAUAUGUGGCAAUUGAGCACUUUAAUCAGUUUCCCCUCAUUAUUCUCCCGGUUAAGCUAUGGGGUAAACAAAAAGAAGCCAUGCAGCAGUACCUAAGCAUUUUUAUAUGCAAGGUUCCAUAAGUGAUAAUCAGUAGAGGUUCCCGAUGCUUGCAUUAUCUGAUCAAUAUAUGUGAACCCUGUGAGAUUAUUUUGUUUUGAAGAUCACACAAUUUGUAUUGAAUUGCAAAACUAAUGUUGUAUACAGUACUUUCUGAUACUUAGAAUGUACAUGCAGUAUCAUAACUUGAAUAAUGCCCCCUCUGCCCCACCCACUUUAAUUUGCCAGUCUUCCUUGCAUGAACAAAAUGGUAGAGACAGGCAUUUUCAGUAUGGGUGGAGCCAAGGUGCCUUUUGGAUUUCUAGCAAAGUAGAUAUUGUAGGUUCCAUUUUUUUUUCAAAAUCUUGGGACAUGCCUGGAACUAAAAUAUGCCUAAUUUGGUUUACUGUAUUAGAUGAUUCUGCAAACCUCUUUUACUUGGAACUGAGUUCUCCAUUCUUCCUAGUAAUUUAAUUAGGAUUAUGUUCUUAGAUACAUAAAUCACAUCUGUGCAUGGUUUGUUUUGUCUUGCGGGGCUGGGGUUCUUGACCAGGGUUUCUUGAUUGGACUUGAUGUUUCUUUGAAUUUUUGACAACUUCCUUGUUUUUUUAGUGGCGCUGCACAGUAUGCUGCCCAUUAUUUUCUGAGUGUUGAGGUUCCCCAGAUCACUUUUCCUGAAUUAGCAAAACUAAAUGUUGCAAGAAUUAUUAAGCAGUUACUAAGCUUUGGGGAAAAAAUUACUGGUAACCAAAGGUUAAAAUACAUUAAUGGUCUUGUUUUUGUAGAAGCUUAUCCAGGAUUCUGCCAUGAGAAUAUUGGUGAAAGAAGAAAAGCUUUCCAUUGACACGCUUCUUCCCCUGCCAUAUUGCAGGUGCAGCAAGAAUGUAGGGCAGGCAUAGGCAAACUCAGCCUCCAGAUGUUUUGAGGCUACAAUUCCCAUCAUCCCUGACCACUGGUCCUGUGAGCUAGGGAUAUUGGGAGUUGUAGUCCCAAAACAUCUGGGGGGCUGAGUUUGCCCUAUGCCUGAGGUAGGGAAUGCUAUAGGCACACACAGUAUUUGUGACAGGCUACAACCAGAUACAACAGCUUUCAUUUGAGUAAACAGAAUGCUGUACUAGUACUCACCCCAGCAAUAAUUGGACCUACUUCCCAAGCAGUUAAUACUGCCAUUGUAAACCCAUGGGGAUUGGAUACAAAGCUGCUCUUGUCCUUGCAGAAGGUUCAUCUGCUCAUACAUGAGGCCCAUCCUUUUUGCCAUUGAUUCUAGUCUCCUUUUUGUCACAUCCCAUGCCAUCCAAGUCUCUCCAGACCCUCGGGAGCAGCGUGGGAGGGGAGGACGGAGGUUGCAGAAAAUAGGAUUGGUGGGAAAGUCCUCUUGUGUGUAAACCGACUUCCACUUGUGCAUCUUUCAAUCCAAGUGGUAAUACUGAAAAAGUACUGAAAUGCACUUGGAGAAUGUUCAUACUGAUUACAGUUAAACUUCUAAAUCUGCAAUGUUUGCUGAACUGGGUCAACCUUCUGUAACAACCAAGACCUGGUAUACUAAACACUUUAUUCUUGCAAUGCAAACGAGUGUGUGUUACUCACAGCAUAAAGUCCUCCAUUUUUAAAAGUGGCCUGAGAGAUCUGCUUUUAGUGUUAAGAUGUCAUUCUUUGAUUUUGUUGUUGCUGUUGUUGUUGUUGUUGUACAUUGUUGUUCUCCUUAGACAUUCAGGAAACUUCUUUUGGGGGGGUGCUCUAUGAACUGUAAUUGAAAAAUACAUUGUCAAGCAAUAUGUUUAAUUGAAAACACAAGCAGUCUUUUCUUCUUAACAUAUUCUUCUCCCAUAAUUAUGGGUUUGUGAUGGCAUGGGAAAUAGUCUGUUUGCAAUUAGAAUAGUUUAACUCUGUAACUUUCAUGCCUUUCAUGUCUUCUCUUCUCAUGAGGUGACCAAAGUAUUGGAGCCUCGGCUUCAGGAUCUGUCCUUCCAGUGAGCACUCAGGGCUGAUUUUCUUAGGAAUGGAGAGGUUGGAUCUUCUUGCAGUCCAUGGGACUCUCAAGUGUCUCCUCCAGCACCAUAAUUCAAAAGCAUCAAUUUGGGUAGAUGAGACUAAAAAGCCCGGGACACAAACUUUCAUGGCCCUCUAACAGCUAUGGCAGUUUACAGUGGUGCCUCGCAAGACGAAAUUAAUUCGUUCCGCGAAUUUUUUCGUCUAGCGAAUUUUUCGUCUUGCGAAGCACGAAAUCCCAUAGGAAUGCAUUGAAAAUCAAUUAAUGCGUUCCUAUGGUCAAAAAAAGUCCAAACAAAGCCAAAUUUGGUACAACAAGAGUUUAUUAAGUGCUCUUUAAAGUCACACAUACUGUAAAGAGCAUUUCAAAAUUCAAACCCAGAAUUUUUUUUAAAAAACAGCAGAGUUGCCCAAUGGUCACAGAAAAUCAUAAAAAUGCAGCAAAAAAACCAAGCUUCCAGAUUCUUGCAAACCCCUCCCCAACACCAAGUCCUUGAAUUCCAAACACCCCAACCCAAAAUCCAAAGCCCCCCAAAAAGUUUUAAAAGCUUAACUUACCAAAUGGCUGCAAAAGAAGUUUUGGAAAAGCUUCAAAAAUCACCAAAGUCUUUAAAAACCUCAAAAAGGGCUACUAUGUACACUGCGUUCUAUGAGUUGCUCCUCGAAGUCAAGUCGCAACUGUAUUAACAGUGUUAAGAAAAAGGAAACAAACUUGCAAGACGUUUUCGUCUUGCGAAGCAAGCCCAUAGGGAAAUUCAUCUUGCGAAGCAGCUCAAAAAACGGAAAACCCUUUCGUCUAGUGAGUUUUCCGUCUUGCGAGGCAUUCGUCUUGCGGGGCACCACUGUAUUUAGCGUUAACUCUAGAAGUAUAUACUGUACUCGAUUAUGACCAAAUUAAGCCUCCUGAUCUAUAUUGUGCUCUAGGAUGCUUAGUUUGGUCCAAACACUUUCAGAGUUAAUGCUAAAUACAUUUCUUCUGGUAAAUGAGCCGCCUAAAGAUUUGUGUCCCAGGCUUUUUAUCUGAAAUCAAAGGGGCACAUUUGUUGCCAGAUAUGAAAUACAUUGGUAUUUUGGAUAGGGGUUAGGAGAGCUGAAAAUAAUGCCAAUUUCUCACCCUGAAUCUAUUAGCAAAUUCCACUUUAGAUUUUGGUAUCAGGAGUUAUUUAUACUGGAAACAGCAGAGGAAUAAUUACUAAUCUCUUGUAUAAUUUAGCCCUUGGUACCCACUACCUAAUCUACAAAAUAGUUAGGUCUGAAGCCCUUGAAGAUGCCAGAUUUGAUCCUUUAAUACUAAGUGAAGCUGCACAGAGUUAAUAGUACUGUACUUGCUUUGAUUUACCGUAAGUAGUUCAUGGAUUGAACUGUCAUUUACUUAUUUCUGAGCCAUCAUAAUUCUCCUUAUAGGCUACCUUGAAGUAUAAGAGGACUCCCAUGCAAGAUGUUUCGUUUUUAUAUUAUAAAAACCUUCAUAUUAUACAUUGUAGGUUCUGUGUUUUUUCUGUAAGUAAACCAGGUAUAUAUUUAUUUAUUAUUUGCAAAAGUUUCUAUACCACCAACAUCAAAUAAAAACAUGGCAGUGAACAUCAUAAAAUCGACAAUAAAAUUGCAUCCAUAAAACGAAUACAAAAUAUAUCAAAAAUCAGUAGAUCAGGUUCAUAUACCAACAUAUCUGAAACCCUCCUCAAAGCCUGAGUGAGCAGCUGAGUUUUGAGCAGGAGACUAAAUGUCAGUACUGUAGCUGUAAAGAAUAAAUCUUGUCCCUGAGCUGGAAGCCUAACACAGGUGCUUUGCUUCUGCUGUGUUCAAAAAUCCUUUUUGUGCUCUGCAUAGACAUUUCAUUUUUUAAACUGUCUCUGUAGUUGGCCAGUGAACGCAUUUACAAGAUACUCAGAUUCAGACCGUUUCUCAAGUACUGAGACAAGAUUGUGUCCAUGCUAAUGGACACCUUUGUACCUGCCUGUUCUUUAGCUCCCCUAUUAUUUAAAGCAAGUUAUUUUGAGGGACUUGGAGGCAGCUAUUAUGACACAGCUAGAGGGAAAGAAAAAGUACACACGCCUCAGAAAAUUAGUGAGUGUCAGUGGACUGGCUGGCAUAUCAAGGUAAUUGUGAAUGAGAAGCAUUCUAUUUCAUUCUGCCCUGCUUGGAGUAAUAAACCAGUAGCCUUGGCUUAACAAUGUGUGAACCACUGCUUGUUCUUGGGGGAAGAUAAGCCUUUAUUGCUGGUUUGCAUGCCAUUAAGCCAAGGCUCGUGUUUUGUUGCUGCUACCUCCAGGCAGAGAAGGACAAAACAAGCAAGUCAGGAAUGCAUGUUUGCACUCUGCUCAAUCACAGCCAUCUUACCAUAGGUGAAACAGCAGGUGAAACAGUUGUCUUUCUAACUUUUAUAAUGAUAGCUCUGUAGAUCCCAAUCUAUGUCAGUUUUGCAAAGACAGCCCACUUUAUAAAGCAGACAUUAUAAGACGACCUUGAGGAUCUCUCCUAAGUGUUCUGUGCCCUCGAUGCUUCUUCCUCUACUUUAAAAAAAAAAAAUGCUGCCUUUCCCCCUUCUCUGCUGCAAAAAAUUAUGGGAUGGCAACAGCAGCAAAUGUUUCAUGGUUUUAACAGGUAGUUAGGACUCACUGAGCCACAAUCCACAGGAUGAGUUCAUAAGCAAAAGCAAGCUGCCUCUUCUUGGAAUAAGAUUCAUUUAGAGCAGAUUAGAAUAUUUCUUCUAAUUUGGAAAGAGACGGGGGGAACAAUGUAGUUGAGGUGCAGCUGAUUAUUCAUACAUAACUAUGCCUCAGCCAUAUUUGAGGGAGUUUUUGCAGAGGUGGCGUAUGUUAGGUGGGGCAAGAAAGUUCAAUUAACAGCAAUCUUUUGUGCGAGUUCAGUUAGCGCUGAUGCAAUCCAUUGACAGGUCAACCUCAUUCCCCUCAGUAAGGCUUGUGAGGAUUUUUAGGCAAGCACUACUGAACAAAUGAAAGUUGUCCUAUUGAAGUGCCUAGCAUAUUGGGCCCCAUAGAUUUAAAGAGCAUGUGAAUCAUCUAGUUAUACUGCAACUACAAAUUUAAUAAAUAAAAACAAACUUUUUAAAAAAUUGAAAGGCAGCAGUAUGUUCAAAGGUCAAUUGCCAGUUUAGGUUUUUUAUUAAAAAAAAAAUCUUGGAAAAAUGUAUACCUUAUGUUAAGGAUUAUUUCAAAGUUUCAGGUGGUCUUGAAAAAUAAUUUGGGAAAGCAUCUUGGAAUGUGUAUUUUGUCCCUCACUUUAUUUUCACUCUGCACUAAAGUCUAUUGGUUUGGCAACUACUGUGUUUGCAAAUUACUGUGUGGGACCAUUUGUGUGCGUAGAUGUGUGUAUUGUCCAGCUUCAUAACUCAAACUUGGGUGUAAUAUUUUACCAUUGUAUGUUUGCACAGAGUACCACAGGCAGUUGGGAUUUCAGUGUCAUAAUGACAAAAAGCAUUUUUGCCUGCAUAUUUCUCUUUCCCUUCCAUCCCCCCCCCACCUCCCAUUACGGCCCAGUGCAGUCAUAACAAUUAAUUGUGAUUAGCAGCAGCCUUUGUUUGUUGCCUGAACUUUAGUUACAAUCCCACAUAAAGUGAAACCCUGGUUUCAGCUUGCUAAAGUAAGCUCUGCUACUAAAGAAUGUAUGCAAGAAAAGACAAGCAAGCUGCCUGAUAGGAGCUUGGAAAAGGGAGAAACAGCCUUAAUCAUGUAUAGAGAUUAACACCAGGGAUUUUCAAAUAAUGGUUUAGGUAUUCCAGAUGCAACUUUGUUUAAAUACUAUGUCUGCACGGGGCCUGUGUGAGAGGACAAUCACGUUUUCACAGGGUCAACAUUUCAAGGGAAAUCCCAUGUAUUGUUUUUCCCUGGAGUGCGAAGAUAAACAGAAGCAUUCCUCCACUAAACUGUGAAAUAACAUUGGAAAUGUCCUAAGGACCAAACAAUGUUUCCAAACCAGUUGCUGACCUUGGAUGUUCUUCUGAUAGUAACCACUGUUUUUUCCCCUGACGUUUUAUAAGUUGAUGUCAAAAACCUCCAAGCUUAACUUGGAAGUAAGCUCUAUUGGCAUCAAUAAGUUAUUUUUAAAUAAAUGUGCUUAGGGCAGAACUGCCAGACAUGUCUUUUGCUAGCUUUAAAAAUCUGAAGGAACUUCAGUGUUGGCUCUUGAAGGGCUAAGAUGAGAGCUUUGAUGUUUGUGAAUCAUGCUUUUAAAAAAAUGAAUGCAAAGAAAAUUCAACUAAAUUUACGGUGGCAUCUUAAAGAUCCUAUUUUAUUUAACUGUAGAUUUAAUGGUUAGGUUUUAAAAAAGAUCGGAUUUGUAAUGUACCUAAUGUAAUAUCAAACUUAUAUCAAAAUAAAAU